UAACUACUCUCUCCGUCCGGAAACAAGAUGAAUAAAAGGGAUGUAUCUAGACGUAUUUUAGUUCUAGAUACAUCCCUUUUUAUCCAUUUUGAUGACAAGUAUUUCCGGACGGAGGGAGUAUUUA
rfam:Triticum aestivum genome assembly, contig: Triticum_aestivum_CS42_TGACv1_scaffold_456970_5DS